AGACCGGUCAGCUCAGUGGUUUGAGUGCGGUGUUGUCAACAAUGACAACACCGAGGUCGCGGGUUCGAUUCCCGCUCGGUCCC
rnacentral:tRNA from 1 species